GGAGCAGGAAGUGAUUUGCUCUACACAGUAACUCUUUGUUGCUCUUGGUGGGAGCGCUGCAUUGUCCCUUGCAAAAGCCCCCCCCCCCCCCCACCUCAGGCUGCUGCUCCGGGAGCCCCCGCGAGCUGUGGCUGCAGCCGGGCGAGGUGACUAUCCAGAAGUAGCAAUCCCCCCCUCAGAUCCCCCAGUUUGCAAACCCCAACCUGCCCCGGACACCCGCCCCCCGCCUGGGGAAGCAGAACUUCCACCAAAGGAGGGGGCCCCCGGACGAUCCCCGCUGAGCAGCCCCCUGCUCCCCAGUGAGGACACCCCUUGGAGCAAAGGCUGCAGAGUAACCACCAGCUUGUCCCAUCCUCCCAGGGCCCAGGGCAGGGAAAUGGCUGCAGUGAUAUCGGCUCAGGGGUCAGUGGCCUUCGAGGAGGUGGCUGUGUAUUUCAC